CAUGAUGUGCAGUCUGCUUAAAAUUGGUUAAGAUGUCAGCUGUUUGAAAUUUUUAACUUGUACACUUAAAAGAUGUGUACAACAGAUGAUUACAGAAGCUGAAAAUUGACAGCUCGAUCUCCUCUUAAAGGGAACACCUACGGCACAGAGCAAAUGGGGGAAAUCGAGGUGAAGAAAUAAUGAAAGUCCCGCAGACGUGAUUAGCACGUCUGAAUAUACCUCCUUUGGUUUCUCUGCCGCAGGCCUCCCAUGGAUAUUCCGUAAGGUAGAUCAUGAUAUGAUCUAAGAGGGGAAUUGUAGAUGCGAAUAUCCAUUAUGCUCAAUAUCCUAGCUGUUCAUAUAAGGGUUAAUUUGACCCAAGAAUAAAUUUGGAAUUGUAUCUCCAAUUCUCGGAAAUAAAAC